AACGAACGCUGGCGGCGCGCCUAAUACAUGCAAGUCGAGCGAGAAGACGUAGCAAUACGUUUGUAAAGCGGCGAACGGGUGAGGAAUACAUGGGUAACCUACCCUCGAGUGGGGAAUAACUAGCCGAAAGGUUAGCUAAUACCGCGUACGCUCCUUGGACUUCGGUUCAGGGAGGAAAGCGAUACCAUGGGUAUCGCGCUCUUGGAUGGGCUCAUGUCCUAUCAGCUUGUUGGUGAGGUAACGGCUCACCAAGGCUUCGACGGGUAGCUGGUCUGAGAGGACGAUCAGCCACACUGGCACUGCGACACGGGCCAGACUCCUACGGGAGGCAGCAGUAAGGAAUAUUGCGCAAUGGGCGAAAGCCUGACGCAGCGACGCCGCGUGGGGGAUGAAGGUCUUCGGAUUGUAAACCCCUUUCGGGAGGGAAGAUGGAAUGGGGUAACCCAUUCGGACGUACCUCCAGAAGCAGCCACGGCUAACUUCGUGCCAGCAGCCGCAGU
rnacentral:rRNA from 1 species